GGAGGUAUAGCUCAGUGGUAGAGCACGUGUUUAGCAUGCACAAGCCCCUGGGUUCAAUCCCCAGUAUCUCCA